CUGUCCAGCAAUUGUCAGACACAUUUCCUCAGCCACUUGGAAAAGACUGCCUGAGAAUGCAUCUGCGUCUCUGCCUCAUGUUUUGUGGCAAGGAAGCCAAGACAGAGAGAUGGUGAGAAACAGAGACAGAAGAGAGACAGAGCCAGCGCUCCAAGUAACUGCCUCAUCCUAGCAUGAAAGCAGGGAGUGGAAAGAGAGAAACAUUAAUGGCCCCCAGUGGGGAUCAAGCCUGUAACCCAGGCACAUGCCCCAACUGGGAAUCGGCAACUCUUCGGUGCACGGGACGGCGCCCAACCAACUGAGCCACACCAGCCAGGGCAAAGCUAACCUAUUUUCCCAAGCCCUCGACAGUGCUGAUUGGUCCCAGUGGACAGCGAUCAAGGCCCGCAGUCUAUGUGCCUAUGUGACAUGGAAAGGAAUGUGCAGCUGGGCCAGGAAGGUGUCCGUUUGUCUGCAGGUCUUCUGAGGCUGACCCUGGGAGCGGCAACAUGUCCCGCCUCAGGGCAGUCCUCUCUUUUCUUCCCGGUCCCUAACCCAGUCACUGCCUGCACUGACUCACCCCGUGUGAUUGGAGCUCACCCACAGCUGAAAAGAAAGUCAGAUGGGAACCAAACUCUGUCCCCUGCACCUUGCCCUAAAGCUACUCGGGACAAGGACACGGUGUGCCAAGCAGAGGCUCUGAGAGGGCAGCUCCAGUCUCUCCCUCCACCUUCCCAUCCCUGUUGUGGCUCCGGUGGCGGGAGCAGCAAUGGGCAGGGAGGAAAGGAACAUGAUCUGGUGAAGAAUGUACUCACACUCCCUUGCACGCCUCCGACACCACAGUCAUCGAAGCCGGUAUAAAUGAAUCACGUCCCUGCCUCUCCAUUGCAGGGAAAGGCUGCACAUUUCCAGAGCACCAGGCACCACAUGGAAGGACCAAAGCAAAUGCCAAGAAAAUGGUAAAAGCACUUUUCUUAUUCACCAUUUUAGGUUUAUACAUGCACAGUUUGUAGGAGCCUGGCCUGUGGUAAGCCCCAAACCGGCGUUUACUAAGAAAGAUAAAACCACCCUCCCUGAGAAAGCAAAGGGCAGAGGCUUUUUCUGUAUUUACUUUUUUUAGUUCCUCUAAUUAAAGUAUUUGUUGAUUUCCAGC